UAACAUGUAGCUUAAAUUAAAGCAAUGCAUUGAAGAUGCUUUGAUGGUUGAAUAACCUUUGUUAG
rnacentral:tRNA from 1 species